rnacentral:rRNA from 1 species
UACGUAGGGGGCAAGCGUUGUCCGGAAUCAUUGGGCGUAAAGCGCGUGUAGGCGGCUUGAUAAGUCUGCUCUGAAAGCCCGGGGCUCAACCCUGGGAGGCGGGUGGAUACUGUCGAGCUCGAGUCCGGAAGAGGCGAGUGGAAUUCCUGGUGUAGCGGUGAAAUGCGCAGAUAUCAGGAGGAACACCAAUGGCGAAGGCAGCUCGCUGGGACGGUACUGACGCUGGGACGCGAAAGCCAGGGGAGCAAACGGG